rnacentral:lncRNA from 1 species
AACACACUCCAAUCAUCUUUGCUCUCUCACACACACAACACCCAAAACACCUACUUAUCACGCCAAACACCAUUUUUAGCUUGGACGGAGGUUUCAAGCUCCGAUUUGAGCACCGAGAGAGCACCGAUCAUCUUUUCGAUCACGUAUCUAAGUAGGUAAGAUCUCUACCUACGUUUUGAUGGUUUUCUUUUCGAUUUUCGUCGACGUCGAAAAACGUCGAUUCUCGACUUUAUUUUGAAACGACGUCGGAUCGUCGUGAAAUUUUAGUAUGUUGUUCUUGGGUAAUGUUGAGCAUGUUUAAUGAAGGGAGUAAGAACGGAACGAACCGUAGCUAUGAAACCCAUGAGGGCAGCCCCGUUUUUCACAUAUUAGCUUGUCUUUCGAUUUUUGUUUGUAGUCGUUUUGUACUUGUAUAUUUGUUGCUUUAGGGGUAGUUGCUAGAAUCGAUAUAUAUUAAAUUCGUAUUUUCAAGCAGAAAAUUGUAUAAUUUUUAGAGUAUGUAUUAUUUAAAUUCGUGAAGUUGGACGUUGCAUAAUGAAUAUUAUUGCGUAUAUGUGUUCUACGAUAUCACAUGAGCAUGCUAAUUGAUUUACAAUUUAUGGAUGAUAAUUGUUGAACGAAAUUAAAACUGGAAUUCUGUCAAAAUUUUACAGCAGUUUCAAGCUUAUGUUUCGAUGAGUUUUCAUUGCUUGAUGGCUCUGAAAUUUUAGUAUGUUUAUCUAUGAUAUGUGUAUUUCGUCUCAAAAUUUCAUGUCUUUUGGAUGAUGUUUGCUAUUUUAAAGAUAUUUUGAAAAAUCCUUGACAGAAUCUGUAACUUUGGAGACUUCACAAAAACGUUUAUAUCUAUUAAUCCAUGAAGGAUUUUGCAUCACCGUUUUUUUUAAACGAAACUAGACUUCAAUAUUUUCUAAAAACAUAAAUUUCGAUUUUUAUGACUCUGAAACAGAGCAGUUUAUUAUUUCAAAAAUGCCCUGUUCUGCUGUCAUAUUGUCCAACAGUAAAAGUGUAUGAGUUUCAUUGUUUAUUUGGCAGAUCAUAUGAACGUUUUCUCUUGUGAAAUUUAACCAAAUCUUCAAGGAUACCUUUAGUUUGGUGAUUAAAUUUGAUGGAAUUUUAUUAAGGUUGCCUUGGUUUCUAAUGGCCUAAACAAAAUUGGCAGAAACUGUCAAUCUUGACAGCCUGCACUAAAAGAGCAAUAUCUACCAAAAAAUCUUUAACCUUUUUGGUUAAUACCUAUUUUUAGUAGUAGAACUACACUUCAUGAAGUUUUUGAGAUCAAUUGGUAUGAGAGUUUAUGAUGAUUGAGUUGGUUGUUAUGAAUUUUUAAAGAUGACACAAAAACAGCAAAACUUUCUAGAAAACAACUUGAUUAUAUUUGGUUUGAUGGAUCGAUCGAUUGCUAAAUGGGUGAGUUGUGAGAAGUUAUGAUUAACGCACAUAAAUGUUGGUAUCUGACACUCGAACAAUUGGUGUCGAGUAUAAAUGAUAGUUUACUGAUAAAGAUUUUGAUGAUUUUGAAUUGUUUGGUUUGCGUUGAAAAGAUGUCAAGAUGUUAAGUUUUGAGUCGAGAGACGAGUUCACGUAGUGAGAUUCACGCGUUGAAAUCUCGUGGCUGACAUUAUAUAUGAAUAGGUCAUGACGAAAUUUUUAGUGAAAUUAGGAUUUGAGCAUAGUCAAUUCUUGUUGACCCGUGACUCAAAUACAUGCCUAAUGGAAAGUUUAACUUUCUAAUUGGUUAAUUAGACGAGAUGAGAGCGAAUAGAUCUGCUAAGAAAGUGGACUUUUCGAUGUGUUAAAUAUUUCUUUUAAUUGAAGCGCUGCUAAUUAUAACAUAAGGAUGUUAUAAUUAAUGAGUAAUGACGAGAGAUAAUAAUUGUUAUAUUGAUUAACAAUCAAGAGAGAUGAACAUUAGAGAUACUAAUGUUUCAUAAAAGAGAUUAGAUUAUUAAUCGAGGUUUCUUUUAUAACUUCUCACCAAUUCUUCAUAACGAUGAAGGUCCUUUUGGGAAGUAACGACUUGAGGGAGAGAGUGACGUUACUCAUUGAUACAGAGACACAACGAGGUGGGCAUUACUUUUACUAUACGUAUAUAGAGAUCCCCUGCGUGUCGUAGGCCUCUUAUACGAAUGAAUGCAUGAGAUGAUUUAACUGUUAAUUUCAGUUUUAUAUAUCUAUCAAACAAGUUUAAUGCUACAUUUGAACAAGUUAUUUCGUUACAAAAUCUUUGAACUGGAAAAUAUUACAACUAUUGUCUUGCCAUAAAUGUUUCAAUGUUUGGUAUGAUAUCUAUCUGAUGUGGCUUUGCCAGUUAUGCAAUCGAAUUCGGGUCCUGAGCAGUUGAUAGCUAUCCUGCCUUGACUAGUGUACACCAGUGACCGUGAGUCAUCUAGCGGGUUGGCCGGUCAAGUGACCGUGAGAGGUGGCCACCUCUCCGGCACACAGUUCCAGAUAUGAUAGAUUACAAGAGAACUUAGUCUGCAGACGAACUUUAAGAAUCACAAAUGAACUUAGUAAGCUUGGGCCUUUUUAGCGAAAAACUCCCUUGCUGUACUGUUUAUGAUGGCAUGACAAUUUACAGUUUUGAAGCAUGUAUUUUUAUACCUAGGCAUACGUGCCCACUGAGUGCUUUUGUACUCAGCCCUGCAUAUGUUUUCUAAAUGUGCAGGUUGAGCUGAUGUGAUGAUGGUGCUGCAAUGAGCGGAGUCUCCAG